GACGAACGCUGGCGGCGUGCCUAACACAUGCAAGUCGAACGGACGAAGCCCUUCGGGGCCUAGUUAGUGGCGGACGGGUGAGUAACGCGUGAGCAACCUGCCUCUGUGAGGGGAACAACGCAUGGAAACGUGCGCUAAUACCGCAUAACGCAUACUGAUUGCAUGGUUGGUAUGUUAAAGGAGCAAUCCGCAUAGAGAUGGGCUCGCGUCUGAUUAGAUAGUUGGUGAGGUAACGGCUCACCAAGUCGACGAUCAGUAGCCGGUCUGAGAGGAUGAACGGCCACAUUGGGACUGAGAUACGGCCCAGACUCCUACGGGAGGCAGCAGUGGGGAAUAUUGGGCAAUGGGGGAAACCCUGACCCAGCAACGCCGCGUGAAGGAAGAAGGCUUUCGGGUUGUAAACUUCUUUUACCAGGGACGAAGAACGUGACGGUACCUGGAGAAAAAGCAACGGCUAACUACGUG
rnacentral:rRNA from 1 species